rnacentral:tRNA from 1 species
AUUAUUUUGGCAGAAAAGUGCAAUAGAUUUAGAAUCUUUACAUGUAAUUUAUAUUUACAAAUAAUA